UACAGGGGGUGCAAACGUUGCUCGGAAUCGUUGGGCGUAAAGCGCACGUAGGCGGUUCGUUAUGUCGGAUGUGAAAGCCCUUGGCUUAACCGAGGAAGUGCAUCCGAAACUGGCGAGCUAGAGUACUAAAGAGGAUCGCGGAAUUCCCGGUGUAGAGGUGAAAUUCGUAGAUAUCGGGAGGAACACCGGUGGCGAAGGCGGCAUCCUGGACCGACAUUGACGCUGAGGAGCGAAAGCUAGGGGAGCAAACAGG
rnacentral:rRNA from 1 species